GCUAGCCGUCGAAGGUGGGACAAAUGAUUGGGGUGAAGUCGUAACAAGGUAGCCGUAUCGGAAGGUGCGGCUGGAUCACCUCCUUUCUAAGGA
rnacentral:rRNA from 7 species